GUAUCUGAGGUCCAGUAACCCUGAGAAAUUUAAUUUGAGAAGACACCAUGAAUGAAAUAUUAAUAUUUUAAAAUCAAGUACAAAGAGAAGAUUGCCUGUGAGUGGUUAUUCUCUUCAGUUGUCCAAUAGCUGUUAUUUAUCAAAUUAACACCAAAACGUUCAAACUCUCUAAAAAUGAAUAGCUUUGCUUUAUAAGGAGAGUUGUGAAAACUUAUUAAGAACUCCUGCACAUAUUAUUUAAAGAUACCAUUUACACGUGAGAGUAAUUAUAAAUGAAAUAUAUUAAAUGUCCGAAAGUAGCACCAUGUGGCAGAAUUUUCAGGAAAAGAAAUCGAAUUAGUACUGGAAGAAGACAUUCAAAUAAGAGAACCACAUUUUCAAGACUCCUGCCCCUGCCACGAGAACACACCCUUUCCAGUUUGCUGGAGAAAUAUAAGAGAAGUCCAGUGAAAGAGAGCUGAGUUUCCCCAAUGAUGCCAUCAAGAUGAACUAACUACAGUUAACCAGCCAGCUGAUAGCAGAUGCAUGAGUGAGCCCAGCUGAGAGCAGGUGAAACUGAAAUUGGCUGUAUCAUCUGAAACUUCAUCUGUGAAGUCCCUGGUGGUUUCCUAGAUGACUACACAGUUGAGUUGCCUCUGAUUGGAAAAGCAGUGUUUUGGUUUUUCAGUUUGUACAAGAGGAAGAAGACGCAUGAUAUGUGUUUGGCUCAUGUGCCUGAAUAUGGCUCCACAGGGAAGACU
rnacentral:lncRNA from 10 species